GAGGUGAGGGCUAAGUUAAAGGGCAAGUACCUAUGGAGGUGAAGGCUAAGUUAAAGGGCCAGUACCCAUGGAGGUGAGGGCUAAGUUAAAGGGCCAGUACCCAUGGAGGUGAGGGCUAAGUUAAAGGGCCAGUACCCAUGGAGGUGAGGGCUAAGUUAAAGGGCCAGUACCCAUGGAGGUGAAGGCUAAGUUAAAGGGCCAGUACCCAUGGAGGUGAAGGCUAAGUUAAAGGGCCAGUACCUAUGGAGGUGAAGGCUAAGUUAAAGGGCCAGUACCCAUAGAGGUGAAGGCUAAGUUAAAGGGCCAGUACCAAGAGGUAAAGGCUAAGUUAAAGGGCCAGGACCUAUGGAGGUGAAGGCUAAGUUAAAGGGCCAGUACCCAUGGAGGUGAAGGCUAAGUUAAAGGGCCAGUACCCAUGGAGGUGAAGGCUAAGUUAAAGGGCUAGUACCCAUAGAGGUAAAGGCUAAGUUAAAGGGCCAGUACCCAUAGAGGUGAAGGCUAAGUUAAAGGGCCAGUACCCAUAGAGGUAAAGGCUAAGUUAAAGGGCCAGUACCCAUGGAGGUGAAGGUUAAGUUAAAGGGCCAGUACCCAUGGAGGUGAAGGCUAAGUUAAAGGGCCAGUACCCAUGGAGGUGAAGGCUAAGUUAAAGGGCCAGUACCCAUGGAGGUGAAGGCUAAGUUAAAGGGCCAGUACCCAUGGAGGUGAAGGCUAAGUUAAAGGGCCAGUACCCAUGGAGGUGAAGGCUAAGUUAAAGGGCCAGUACCCAUAGAGGUGAAGGCUAAGUUAAAGGACCAGUACCCAUGGAGGUGAGGGCUAAGUUAAAAGGCCAGUACCCAUGGAGGUGAGGGCUAAGUUAAAGGGCCAGUACCCAUGGAGGUGAGGGCUAAGUUAAAGGGCCAGUACCCAUGGAGGUGAAGGCUAAGUUAAAGGGCCAGUACCUAUGGAGGUGAGGGCUAAGUUAAAGGGCCAGUACCCAUAGAGGUGAAGGCUAAGUUAAAGGGCCAGUACCCAUGGAGGUGAAGGCUAAGUUAAAGGGCCAGUACCCAUGGAGGUGAGGGCUAAGUUAAAGGGCCAGUACCCAUGGAGGUGAGGGCUAAGUUAAAGGGCCAGUACCCAUGGAGGUGAGGGCUAAGUUAAAGGGCAAGUACCUAUGGAGGUGAAGGCUAAGUUAAAGGGCCAGUACCCAUGGAGGUGAGGGCUAAGUUAAAGGGCCAGUAGCCAUGGAGGUGAGGGCUAAGUUAAAGGGCCAGUACCCAUGGAGGUGAAGGCUAAGUUAAAGGGCCAGUACCCAUGGAGGUGAGGGCUAAGUUAAAGGGCCAGUAGCCAUGGAGGUGAGGGCUAAGUUAAAGGGCCAGUACCCAUGGAGGUGAGGGCUAAGUUAAAGGGCCAGUAGCCAUGGAGGUGAGGGCUAAGUUAAAGGGCCAGUAGCCAUGGAGGUGAGGGCUAAGUUAAAGGGCCAGUACCCAUGGAGGUGAGGGCUAAGUUAAAGGGCCAGUAGCCAUGGAGGUGAGGGCUAAGUUAAAGGGCCAGUACCCAUGGAGGUGAGGGCUAAGUUAAAGGGCCAGUACCCAUGGAGGUGAGGGCUAAGUUAAAGGGCCAGUACCCAUGGAGGUGAGGGCGUGCUGCAGCUCCGGGCCCUCC